rnacentral:rRNA from 1 species
UACGUAGGUCCCGAGCGUUAUCCGGAUUUAUUGGGUUUAAAGGGUGCGUAGGCGGACGCUUAAGUCAGCGGUAAAAUUGCGGGGCUCAACCUCGUCGAGCCGUUGAAACUGGGUGCCUUGAGUGGGCGAGAAGUACGCGGAAUGCGUGGUGUAGCGGUGAAAUGCAUGGAUAUCACGCAGAACUCCGAUUGCGAAGGCAGCGUACCGGCGCCCAACUGACGCUGAAGCACGAAGGCGUGGGUAUCGAACAGG